GGUUGUAUGGAGUAGUGGUCAACUUAGGAGAUUUUGAAGCGCAGCAGGCCGGAAGGCUUGCUUGCAUCCGAAUUUCUCUUGCCCCGGGUUCGAAUCCCGGUACGACCU
rnacentral:tRNA from 1 species